GGGGUGCGAGGUGGUUGGCGCUCGGGGUCGACCAGCAUCUCCCCGCGUCCUUCUAUUCGCGGGGCCUUGGAGCAAGCAGGGGAAGAGUCUUCGCACCGGGAUUCCUGUGGCUCGGCGGCCAGGCUCCUGCGUCACCGUUAGGGGCGUUCGUUUCCCAUCCUCGGUACCCAGCUCCAGGCUCUAGAGCUUGGCCAGCACGGCCGAGUCCGUGCUUGGGGGGCUCGUUGGCGGGCCGCCUGGGCCCGGUCUCCAGCCCUGGACGCGUCCUGCUCCCGCUGGACUUGAACGAGACUUAGAGGGAUCGUUAAGCAGUUGUGGUGGAGAAGGCAGUGGCACCCACUCCAGUACUCGUGCCUGGAAAAUCCCAUGGAAGGAGGAGCCUGUUACACCCCUUACAGACACUCUCUCUCUCCUGGGCACGAGGCUCCCUGGUUCAGAUCAUCCAUGACCCAUUUCUCUACACUCAAGGAGUUAUCUGGCCACGUUGGCUCCAGCUCUAAUGGAGUGAGUUGAGCAGUGAUGGACCCAGAGGAGAGUGGAGACAACAGGGCAUGAAGGAGAAAUAUAUUUUCAUGUUUGCUUACAAGGAACUCUAGAAGGAUCUGUAAGAAACAAAAUACUACCUGUGGAGGUCAGAUGGCCCUGGACACACAGACUAAAUGACAGGAGGCACAGAUUAGUGCAAAGUGUAUUUUCAGUAUCUGGAAUCAUGUGCCUGUAUUAUAACCUCUUUGGAAUUUUCAAUAAAUUGAAUUUUUAAAAACCUCCAAAGAAUAAAAUGCAUUUUACUGUUUUUAUUUUAUAUAUUAUUUUACUGUUUU
ensembl:lncRNA